UUAGAUUCAAAAGAGAAACACCAUCCAUUUUCAGAUUGAUUGUUUUGUUAGAUUAAUAUUAUCACUAAUUUGGUUGUUAGCAAGGUUUUCAAACCGGGCCGGCCGGUCAGACCGGUCCGGCCGGGAUCCGGAAAGUAAAGCGGGCCGGUCCAGUAAGUUUGGCCGUUUCAACAUCGACCUGGGGUCGGGCCGGGAUCUGGACGGUCGGGCUGGCGGUUCUUGAAGAGAUGGUCGGGCCAGAUAUUUUUUUUAAUUAGCCCAAACUAAAAAUCUCAUACCAAAAUCAUAAAACUGUAACCUCCAUCUUUUUCCUCAGACGACGCACGCACUUUUCUUCUCAUCUCUGUACAACAACAUCUUCAAUUCAUCAUCUUCAUCAUGGAUUAGCCACCAUUCAUCUUGAUUCAAGUCUGGUCAUCUAUUCAAUUCACAGGGAGGAUAUGAGAGAUAGAGAUGGAGGAAGAUAAAGGUAGGGUGUACUAGAGUAGGUUGCAAAUAAGCAUGGCAACACCUUUAACGGAAACAGAAAGGGACCACACCUUUAACAACUGAAAGCGACUUUACAAGCACGUAUCAAACCCUCCUUUAUAAAUUCAAGGCUGGUAGCUUCAAAUCACCCCGUCUCUCUCUCUCUCUCUCUCUCUCUCUCUCUCUCUCUCUUAUCUGUCCGGUGAGAUCUGUGGAUCUCCGGUGACCCUGCAUUACCUACCGACCACUUGAACCGUCGUUGCAGGCUUUCUCGCAAUCCUUAACACUCCGGUUGUCACUCCCUUUCGUGCACCAGAGUCAAACAUAACAUCACCGCCGACCACCAGCAUCGUCACAACCGAGAACCCAAAUAAGGUUUGCAAAAUCGAUUACAAGUUACAAAUAAUGUCGAUAUUCGUAUGUUUGGAUCUGCCUACGAAUCCCAACCAUGAAGGUGAUUGUGGAAACAAGUUCACACUUGCAGGUGAUUGAGCAUCCACAACAGGAUCAGUUUCAGAUGCAGGUGAUUGUGGAAAUAGAGGUUCUUCAUCUUGAACAAUCAUGUGUCCAAAUAAAGGAGCAUCGAGUCCAGUACCACGAAAUCUCAUCAUAUUUGCAAAAACCUUGGGCUUCAAAUGAGAUAAAUCUAAAGAACUUCCUUCAUGAACCAAGUUGGGAAAAUUCUGAUUGAAAAUGUGUUGCAGAAAUCGUGGAGACAAUAAAAACUUUGAUUCUGAUUGAAUAUGAUUGGAUAGUUCAUACACUACUAGAAAAUUGAAAAAAAUGGUAGUAAAUUUAGCCACCGAUUUGCCACGGAAAAGAAAAUUAGUGUAUUUAUCAUGAUAUGGUAGCAAAGCGGUUGCAAUUUUUGCCACCUUUUUAUUUUCGGUGGCAAUUUUUGGGAAAAAUACGCUAAAGCAUGAAAAAUAAAAAGAUCUGCACGCUUCAAAAGUCUAUUAAUUAGGGUUCCAGCCAAAUAACUCUCCUCCAAAAUUUUAAUCCCUGCUUCUCACCCGCUCCCCUGCGUCAAGCCAUUCAAAGAACCCUGCUUCCAUACAUUUGCUCUGAUCGAUUUGGCGGUCUUCCAUGGUAGAUUCGUAAACAUCUCCAUAUAUUCAAGUGCAGAGCUGCGCUAUGUUGUGCGAUAUGUACUAUGGCUUAUGAGACAAAUGAGGAAGGGGAUAAUCUCAAGGCAUCAGCAUAUUCCUCACUUAUUGCAGUAGCAGGCAAUGUAAAUAAAGUCUGACAACCGACAUAAAUAAAGUCUGACAACGAACCUUAUACUGGAGUAUUAUGAAUCUUUACUCCAGAAACUUGAAUAACAAAAUGAGAUGGAUAUUUCAUAUGCUGUGAACAAAUCUCCAAAGAAAAAUAAAAAAUUGAAAAAGAUGCAAGCCAAGCUGGAUAAAAGUCUCAAAGAAAAGGAGUUGGUGGAUGAUUUUAAUGAAAGUCUUUUGAGAAACAAGGAGAUAUGACAAAAGAUCAUUGUGAAAACUGAAGACAGGUAAACUUGGUUAUCAAGGAGCUCGUUGAGGAAAAGGACGAAGAAGAAGAAAAGUUGAAUAGAAUUAUUGCGGGGCCGUCGACUGAAAAAGAAAAAAGAUAAGGUGGAUAAAGAUACUAUGCUCGAUAGGAUAUCACAAGUUGAAGCUACGUUAACAGCUAUUGUUCUAAGAUAUGUUAUAAACACUUAGUUUUGAAUGUUUCGAUGUUUAUCAUAUUAGGAUAAUUCCAGUUAUUUAACAUUUUAGUUGGC
rnacentral:lncRNA from 1 species